AUUGAACGCUGGCGGAAUGCUUUACACAUGCAAGUCGAACGGCAGCACGGACUUCGGUCUGGUGGCGAGUGGCGAACGGGUGAGUAAUGUAUCGGAACGUGCCCAGUCGUGGGGGAUAACGUAGUGAAAAUUACGCUAAUACCGCAUACGAUCUAUGGAUGAAAGCGGGGGAUCGCAAGACAUCGCGCGGUUGGAGCGGCCGAUAUCAGAUUAGGUAGUUGGUGGGGUAAAGGCCCACCAAGCCAACGAUCUGUAGCUGGUCUGAGAGGACGACCAGCCACACUGGAACUGAGACACGGUCCAGACUCCUACGGGAGGCAGCAGUGGGGAAUUUUGGACAAUGGGCGAAAGCCUGAUCCAGCCAUUCCGCGUGCAGGAUGAAGGCCCUCGGGUUGUAAACUGCUUUUGUACAGAACGAAAAUGUUUCUACUAAUACUAGGAGCUCAUGACGGUACUGUAAGAAUAAGCACCGGCUAACUACGUGCCAGCAGCCGCGGUAA
rnacentral:rRNA from 1 species